AAUCAAUCAGAAAUAAUUUUUCCCGAUUCUUUUCUUCUCUCUCGCGAUUCUUUCUGCAACCAACGAUUUUCUCCUCCCAGAUUUCUCUUCGUUUACUGUUCUUGUGUUCAUCAAUCCAUACGAUUCUCUCUUCCCUCCCAUCGAUUCCCUUCUUCAUUUCUCUACAAUUUCAGGUUUCGUUUCUGCUCGGAGUCAUCCCUGUCUUCAUAGCAUGGAUAUACUCAGAGUUUCUGGAGUACAAGAGGUCUUCAUUGCACUCUAAAGUGUUAUUGAGUUAGACUGUAGCAAAGCAAUACUCUGCUCGGCAAAGGAUACCUCCACCUCCUGAAACUGCAAAAAACCCUUCAGAGCCUUAAUCUUUGACAGGUGAUGAGUCUGUUGAAAAGAUAGAAGAGGAGAAAGAAGAAGAAGAGAAAGAGAAGGAGAAAGAAGAAGAGAGUGGAGAAUCUAUAGACUUGAAUUGAGGUAUUAGAGCAAGAAAGUCAACAAUAUUUGGGGAUCAAUAUGUGCAUUUCAACGUCAGCAUCCCUACGCUGAAGACAAGUAAAGAAGCUGGAAGCUGGAGCAAAGUGAAUCAUGAUAUCAGAGUUAUAACUUUUUUU